GACGAACGCUGGCGGCGUGCCUAACACAUGCAAGUCGAACGGAAAGGCCCUGCUUUUGUGGGGUGCUCGAGUGGCGAACGGGUGAGUAACACGUGAGUAACCUGCCCUUGACUUUGGGAUAACUUUAGGAAACUGGGGCUAAUACCGGAUAGGAGCUCCUGCUGCAUGGUGGGGGUUGGAAAGUUUCGGCGUUUGGGGAUGGACUCGCGGCUUAUCAGCUUGUUGGUGGGGUAGUGGCUUUCCAAGGGUUUGACGGGUAGCCGGCCUGGGAGGGUGACCGGCCACCAUGGGCCUGAGGUACGGCCCAGACUCCUACGGGAGGCAGCAGUGGGGAAUAUUGCACAAUGGGCGGAAGCCUGAGGCAGCAGCGCCGCGUGCGGAAUGACGGCCUUCGGGUUGUAAACCGCUUUCGCCUGUGACGAAGCGUGAGUGACGGUAAUGGGUAAAGAAGCACCGGCUAACUACGUG
rnacentral:rRNA from 1 species